AUACGUAGGGGGCGAGCGUUGUCCGGAAUGAUUGGGCGUAAAGGGCGCGUAGGCGGCGCGGUAAGUCUGGAGUGAAAGUCCUGCUUUCAAGGUGGGAAUUGCUUUGGAUACUGCCGCGCUUGAGUGCAAGAGAGGUUAUCGGAAUUCCCGGUGUAGCGGUGAAAUGCGUAGAGAUCGGGAGGAACACCAGUGGCGAAGGCGGGUAACUGGACUGCAACUGACGCUGAGGCGCGAAAGUGUGGGGAGCAAACAGGAUUAGAUACCCUGGUAGGCCACGCUGUAAACGAUGGGUACUAGGUGUAGGAGGUAUCGACCCCUUCUGUGCCGGAGUUAACGCAAUAAGUACCCCGCCUGGGGACUACGGUCGCAAGACUAAAACUCAAAUGAAUUGACGGGG
rnacentral:rRNA from 1 species